AAAAAAAACCCUAUUAUACGCUAAUUUCAAAUUAUCUUUUAUACUAGCUUCAGGCUUCAAAGGGGACUAAGAGGAAAGAAAUAGUUGUAUGAAAAAAAUUACUCUUGAUUAGAAAAAAGACCUUCAUGAGGGAUUUUCCAAUUUUGUCUCACUUCUGAUUGGAGCAAAAUGCCAUGGAGAAGAGGAAAAUGGAAGAGAUUUUUAAGAAAAAGAAGACACAAGAGGAAAGACACAAGAUGGUUUCUU
rnacentral:lncRNA from 1 species